CAUUAUUCUGCUUUCAGUUUUAAAACCAGUGAGAUGGGGGGUGGUAAGAAAACAUCCCCACUGCAAGAUGGCAUUGGUAGAGCUGUGAUGGUGACAACCAAGAAGUAACAGGAGUGAUGGCAUUUGAAUCAACUCAGGUCAAGAAAUGUCCAAAAUGUCCAGCACGCUUUUUGAUCUUUAGUGGAAGUGUAACGUGUGAAACACGCUCACUGGCUACGGACACCUUGCCCUGCUCUCACUUCCAGUGGAUGGUGCGGAGAAGGUCACCACAUCUCAGUGAGAAAUACAGAACCAGCUGGUGCUUGGAGAAUGGAUGUGUCUUCCUACGAGGCCUUGUGGCUCUCAUGAGAGUACGGCAUUCAAACUUUUGGGUUCCUUUAAAAAAAAAAAAAAGUCAUUAUUAAAUCUCUGCCAAGAUUUAAAAAGUGAAGUGGAUGUAGUGACUUCAUGUUUGAAUGAAAGAGGCAGUUCAUUGGGUGGAGUUAAUGAGGGCAGAGGUGACUCAUGGAGUCCUGAGUUGUGCAUAUAAUUACAGCUCAUUUAGAAAUAAGCACGUAUGUACAUGACCUUUAUUCUCCACCAAAGCUGCACAAACGUCCGCUUCCAUGCUGACACAGACAACCAAUGGAAAGAAAUUCAAACAGCAGGAGCCCGACAUCUGAUCACGUUCCAGGAGAUUAGAUGGCGCUGAGCGGAUGAGGCGUUGAGAAAUACCACGCGUACAUUAAUCACACACCUCGAGAGGUCAAGGUGCCCAACUGACGGCGGCUGGUCUCCACCACUGUGCUGGCUUGGGUUGAUAAUAGUUCUCCAGACUGACACUGCAUCUCUGAACUUCCCUAUUCCUGUCACCAGCUUCCAGCUUCUCGCACGUUCAACCCUUUAGAGGAAACUGCCUCUUCCUUCCCUUCAAUAAUCCCUGAUGCUUGGAUUCUUCUUCAUGGUUCGCAGUCCCCUGUCCCCGAGUCGUGUUAGUCUUUGCCCUUAAAAUCUCAUCCUUGGGGCACCUGGGUGGCUCAGGGGUUGAGGUCUGCCUUCAUCUCAGGGUAUGAUCCUGGGGUCCUGGGAUCGAGUCCCACGUCGGGCUCCCUGCAUGGAGCCUGCUUCUCCCUCUGCCUGUGUCUCUGCCUCUCUCUGUGUGUCUCUCAUGAAUAAAUAAAUAAAAUCUUAAAAAAAAAAUCUCAUCCUCGCCCUUCUCUCCUGUUAUUUCCUAUUUACGUGGAUCCUCUCCUCUCACCUCUAACUUCCUCCACCCUUCAGUUCAUCCCAUACAUCACUGCCAGAUUUGGGUCCCUAAAAUGCCCUUUGCAGAUGUCACACCUAAGCUCAGAGAUCACCCCUCCCCUGCCUGCAAGCUUCUCAGCCUGACUUUCAGAUAUAAAAUCUGGCCCAAAUCUAUUUCCCCAGGGUUUUCACCCGGAGCUCCCUUGCACCUGAAUGGCCACCUUUCUGUAACACCCUCAGCGGGUUUCAGCUGGGGCCCUUGGCCCCAGAACACCCUCCUCUUGCCUCCCCUGUGCCGGUGGAGCCCUCCCUGGCAGGCGUACCCCCUCUGAGAAGCCUUACCCAGCCAUCACUUGGCUUUUUUAUUUCUGCUACUUGAAUGCAUUGCUGCUCUCCCUCCCUCUCUCCUCCGCGCCCCGCCACCCACCCCGAGGCAUCAGCUCCUCCACAAAGCAUUCCUGAUCUCCAAGUCAGAAGGAUUCUC
rnacentral:lncRNA from 1 species